rnacentral:rRNA from 1 species
GAGGGUUUGAUCCUGGCUCAGAUUGAACGCUGGCGGCAGGCCUAACACAUGCAAGUCGAGCGGAUGAAGGGAGCUUGCUCCUGGAUUCAGCGGCGGACGGGUGAGUAAUGCCUAGGAAUCUGCCUGGUAGUGGGGGAUAACGUCCGGAAACGGGCGCUAAUACCGCAUACGUCCUGAGGGAGAAAGUGGGGGAUCUUCGGACCUCACGCUAUCAGAUGAGCCUAGGUCGGAUUAGCUAGUUGGUGGGGUAAAGGCCUACCAAGGCGACGAUCCGUAACUGGUCUGAGAGGAUGAUCAGUCACACUGGAACUGAGACACGGUCCAGACUCCUACGGGAGGCAGCAGUGGGGAAUAUUGGACAAUGGGCGAAAGCCUGAUCCAGCCAUGCCGCGUGUGUGAAGAAGGUCUUCGGAUUGUAAAGCACUUUAAGUUGGGAGGAAGGGCAGUAAGUUAAUACCUUGCUGUUUUGACGUUACCAACAGAAUAAGCACCGGCUAACUUCGUGCCAGCAGCCGCGGUAAUACGAAGGGUGCAAGCGUUAAUCGGAAUUACUGGGCGUAAAGCGCGCGUAGGUGGUUCAGCAAGUUGGAUGUGAAAUCCCCGGGCUCAACCUGGGAACUGCAUCCAAAACUACUGAGCUAGAGUACGGUAGAGGGUGGUGGAAUUUCCUGUGUAGCGGUGAAAUGCGUAGAUAUAGGAAGGAACACCAGUGGCGAAGGCGACCACCUGGACUGAUACUGACACUGAGGUGCGAAAGCGUGGGGAGCAAACAGGAUUAGAUACCCUGGUAGUCCACGCCGUAAACGAUGUCGACUAGCCGUUGGGAUCCUUGAGAUCUUAGUGGCGCAGCUAACGCGAUAAGUCGACCGCCUGGGGAGUACGGCCG